rnacentral:lncRNA from 1 species
CAGUCACAAUGUUCACAUCUCUUAUCAGAGUGCUGGGUUCAAGGCCUGGUUCCAUUCCCAAUUCCAGAUUCCUGCCAAUGAACACCCUGGAAGGCAGCAGGUCUCUACCACCCACUUGGGAGACCCAGAUUGAAUUUGCAGCUCCUGGCUUCAGCCUGGCCCAGCCCUAGCCAUUUUAGGCAUUUGGGGGGUGAGCCAGUGGAUAGGAGCACACUCGUGCACUCUUUCCUGCUCACCCUCUCUAAUACAUUAUUAAAAGUUCUCCUACCCUGUCGCUCCCCCUCUCGCAGAGGAACGACAUCAGACCCUGCGCUGUUCUUUCUGCCUGGCCCUUCCCGGGUUAGCUGCCAGUCCCUCACGCGAGGAGGAACGACGCCGUCCUGGGUUAGCUGCCGGCCCCUCCACCUCCGUGGAGGGGCGGCACCCCCCGCCGCUUUCCCGGCUUCCGCGGAGGAGCAGCACACCGCCGGCCGGCUCUCUCAGGGGCUGCUCAGAUGUUCCUCAGGUGUUCCUUCAGAUGUUCUCUCUCUCCUCCUUUAUAGUCCUCUUCCACCAAUCCAUGCUCUGCUGCCCACACGCCGAGCACGCUGCUCUCCUCCAAUCAGGAGCAGGAUCAGCUCCUGCAGCUUAUCAGUCAAAUUGGCGAGAGGCAGCUGCGUGGAAGUUGUUUGGUCUCUCUCUCAGCGCCAUAUUGUGGGAGAGCAGAUGCAUAGAAUAAGUCUUAAUUCCAGUAACUUAGUCUAGUCUCAGUUACUCCCCACACUACCCUCUCAUAAAAGUAGUUUUUUAUCUUUUUUACUAUUUUUAAUCAGUCAAAAUCUGGUUCUCCUAAGAUACCACCAUUUAUCUUGUAGCUCUAAAUAGAAGUAGACCAUUUUACCAUAUUUCUGAAAAAUUUAUUUCAUAUAGCCUGUGAAAGCAUUAUAUUGAAGUAAAACAUUUCCUUUAUACCAAUUUAACAAAUUAUAUAGUUCUAUCAUCUGCCACAUCACAUUAUAUUAUGCAGUUGUGCUCUACUUGAGAACAAGAGUCACAUUAGACUGACAUUUGUAUAUCUUAGCAGAUUCUCUUUGCUUCCUACUGCUGUUCAAAGCCAUUGCUCUGAGGUGGGCAUUUAGCCCAGUGAUUAUGUCUACUACAUCCCAUAUCAGAGUACCUGCCAAAGAAGGCCUGGGAGGCAACGGUGAUAACUCACGUAGUUGAGUUCCUGACACUCAUAUGGGAGACCUGUAUUGAGUUCUCAACACCUAACCAGUCUACCCCAUCCCCAGCUGUUGCAGGCAUUUGGGGUGUGAACCAGUAGAUGGGGGGAUCUCCCUCCCCUCCCUCAAAUAAAUAUUUAAAUUUCUCUACUCA